rnacentral:rRNA from 1 species
UACGUAGGGGGCAAGCGUUGUCCGGAAUCAUUGGGCGUAAAGCGCGUGUAGGCGGCCCGAUAAGUCCGCUGUGAAAGUCCAGGGCUCAACCCUGGGAUGCCGGUGGAUACUGUCGGGCUCGAGUCCGGAAGAGGCGAGUGGAAUUCCUGGUGUAGCGGUGAAAUGCGCAGAUAUCAGGAGGAACACCAAUGGCGAAGGCAGUUUGCUAGGCUGAUUCAGACACUGAGAUGUGAAAGCGUGGGGAGCGAAUGGG